UACGAGGGGGGCAAGUGUUGUUCGGAAUUACUGGGCGUAAAGCGUGCGCAGGCGGUUUGUUAAGUCCGCUGUGAAAUCCCCGAGCUCAACUUGGGAAUUGCAGUGGAUACUGGCAAGCUGGAGUAUGGUAGAGGAAGGUGGAAUUCCCGGUGUAGCAGUGAAAUGCGUAGAGAUCGGGAGGAACACCAGUGGCGAAGGCGGCCUUCUGGACCAAUACUGACGCUCAUGCACGAAAGCGUGGGGAGCAAACAGG
rnacentral:rRNA from 1 species